GAUGAAGAACGCAGCGAAAUGCGAUAAGUAAUGUGAAUUGCAGAAUUCAGUGAAUCAUCGAAUCUUUGAACGCACCUUGCGCCCUUUGGCCAUUCCGAAGGGCAUGCCUGUUUGAGUAUCAUGAACACCUCAACUCUCAUGGCUUGCCAUGAUGAGCUUGGACUUUGGGGGUCUUGCUGGCCUGCGGCCAGCUCCUCUCAAAUGAAUUAGCUUUCCAGUGUUUGGUUGGCAUCACAGGUGUGAUAACUAUCUACGCUUGUGGUUUCCACCAGGUAACCUGCAGUAACAUGGGGGUUUGCUGGAGCUCAUAAAUGUCUCUCCUCAGUGGGGACAGCUCUUUGAACGUUUGAUCUCAAAUCAGGUAGGACUACCCGCUGAACUUAAGCAUAUCAAUAAGCGGAGGA
rnacentral:misc_RNA from 1 species